rnacentral:RNase_P_RNA from 1 species
GGGAGGGGGCUGGGGGGCUCGGCCAAAAGGCCGGGGAAGCUCCACCCACUCCCAGCACGGGCCCGUAUGGUUGCCCGAGAGGGCAAGGCCCACCCACAGAAACGACACGGCCCUUGCGGCAUGGCAGUGAAGCUGGCAACAGCAGAGGACCGUAAGGGAUCCGGUGAAACGUGGGUGGCCGCCCGGUGGUAAGCCUCCCCGCGAUGAGUCGCUGGGUAAGCGGGGAAGGCGCAUAGCCCAAUCCCCCCGAAGUACAAAAGGUGGGCUAAAGCCCCGACCC